rnacentral:rRNA from 1 species
GAUGAACGCUGGCGGCGUGCCUAAUACAUGCAAGUCGAGCGAACAGACGAGGAGCUUGCUCCUCUGACGUUAGCGGCGGACGGGUGAGUAACACGUGGAUAACCUACCUAUAAGACUGGGAUAACUUCGGGAAACCGGAGCUAAUACCGGAUAACAUGUUGAACCGCAUGGUUCAACAGUGAAAGACGGUCUUGCUGUCACUUAUAGAUGGAUCCGCGCCGCAUUAGCUAGUUGGUAAGGUAACGGCUUACCAAGGCAACGAUGCGUAGCCGACCUGAGAGGAUGAUCGGCCACACUGGAACUGAGACACGGUCCAGACUCCUACUGGAGGCAGCAGUAGGGAAUCUUCCGCAAUGGGCGAAAGCCUGACGGAGCAACGCCGCGUGAGUGAAGAAGGUCUUCGGAUCGUAAAACUCUGUUAUUAGGGAAGAACAAAUGUGUAAGUAACUAUGCACGUCUUGACGGUACCUAAUCAGAAAGCCACGGCUAACUACGUG